GAACGCGUGGCGGCGUCGACCUAACACAUGCAAGUCGUACGAGAAAUCCCGAGCUUGCUUGGGAGAGUAAAGUGGCGCACGGGUGAGUAACGCGUGGGUAACCCACCUUCGAAUCCGGGAUAACUCCGCGAAAGCGGUGCUAAUACCGGAUAAGACCACAUUCCGUUCGCGGAAAGAGGUAAAAGCUGACCUCUCCAUGGAAGUUAGCGUUCGAGGACGGGCCCGCGUCCUAUCAGCUUGUUGGUGGGGUAAUGGCCUACCAAGGCUGCGACGGGUAGCUGGUCUGAGAGGAUGAUCAGCCACACUGGAACUGGAACACGGUCCAGACUCCUACGGGAGGCAGCAGUGAGGAAUUUUGCGCAAUGGGGGAAACCCUGACGCAGCAACGCCGCGUGGGUGAAGAAGGCUUUCGAGUCGUAAAGCCCUGUCAGGUGGGAAGAAACUCUUCAGCACUAAUAAUGCUGAAGCCUGACGGUACCACCAGAGGAAGCACCGGCCAACUCCGUG
rnacentral:rRNA from 1 species